GGGAGCGUAGCUCAGUCUGGUUAGAGCGCAUGCCUGUCACGCAUGAGGUCGCGAGUUCGAGCCUCGUCGUUCCCG
rfam:Fusobacterium sp. CAG:439 genomic scaffold, scf154